rnacentral:rRNA from 1 species
AACGAACGCUGGCGGCAUGCCUAACACAUGCAAGUCGAACGAGACCUUCGGGUCUAGUGGCGCACGGGUGCGUAACGCGUGGGAACCUGCCCUUAGGUUCGGAAUAACUCCCCGAAAGGGGUGCUAAUACCGGAUAAUGUCUUCGGACCAAAGAUUUAUCGCCUUUGGAUGGGCCCGCGUUGGAUUAGCCAGUUGGUAGGGUAAAUGCCUACCAAGGCUACGCUCCAUAGCUGGUCUGAGAGGAUGAUCAGCCACACUGGGACUGAGACACGGCCCAGAUUCCUACGGGUGGCAGCGGUGGGGAAUAUUAGACAAUGGGAGAAAGCCUGAUCCAGCAAUGCCGCGUGAGUGAUGAAGGCCUUAGGGUUGUAAAGCUCUUUUACCCGGGAUGAUAAUGACAGUACCGGGAGAAUAAGCUCCGGCUAACUCCGUG